UAUGUGUGUGUAUAUAUGUGUGUGUGUGUGUGUGUGUGUACACACACACACACACACACACACACACAUAUA